UUUUUGGAGCCAGCCGCCUAAGGUGGGACAGAUGAUUGGGGUGAAGUCGUAACAAGGUAGCCGUAUCGGAAGGUGCGGCUGGAUCACCUCCUUUCUAUGGAGA
rnacentral:rRNA from 3 species